rnacentral:rRNA from 1 species
UACGUAGGGGGCGAGCGUUGUCCGGAGUUACUGGGCGUAAAGCGCACGCAGGCGGUCUGCUAAGUUUGGAGUGACAGUUGGUGGCUUAACUGCCAAAGUGCUUCGAAAACUGACAGACUUGAGGGCUUCAGAGGAACACGGAAUUCCGGGUGGAGUGGUGAAAUGCGUAGAGAUCCGGAGGAACACCAAAGGCGAAGGCAGUGUCCUGGGGAGUACCUGACGCUCAGGUGCGAAAGCCAGGGGAGCGAACGGG